ACUGCUCAGUAACACGUGGACAACCUGCCCUUAGGUUGGGUAUAAACCCGGGAAACUGGGUAUAAUACCCGAUAGGUCUCGAUUGCUGGAAUGCAUCGAGAUUUAAAGCUCCGGCGCCUAAGGAUGGGUCUGCGGCCUAUCAGGUAGUAGUGGGUGUAGCGUACCUACUAGCCUACGACGGGUACGGGUUGUGAGAGCAAGAGCCCGGAGAUGGAUUCUGAGACACGAAUCCAGGCCCUACGGGGUGCAGCAGGCGCGAAAACUUUACAAUGCUGGCAACAGCGAUAAGGGAACCUCGAGUGCCAGGUUACAAAUCUGGCUGUCGAGAUGCCUAAAAAGCAUUUCAUAGCAAGGGCCGGGCAAGACCGGUGCCAGCCGCCGCGGUAACACCGGCGGCUCGAGUGGUAACCGUUAUUAUUGGGUCUAAAGGGUCUGUAGCCGGCCGGAUAAGUCUCUUGAGAAAUCUGGCAGCUUAACUGUCAGGCUUUCAGGAGAUACUGUCUGGCUCGAGGCCGGGAGAGGUGAGAGGUACUUCAGGGGUAGGGGUGAAAUCUUGCAAUCCUUGAAGGACCACCAGUGGCGAAGGCGUCUCACCAGAACGGACCUGACGGCAAGGGACGAAAGCUAGGGGCACGAACCGGAUUAGAUACCCGGGUAGUCCUAGCCGUAAACGAUACUCGCUAGGUGUCGGCCACGGUGCGACCGUUGUCGGUGCCGUAGGGAAGCCGUGAAGCGAGCCACCUGGGAAGUACGGCCGCAAGGCUGAAACUUAAAGGAAUUGGCGGGGGAGCAC
rnacentral:rRNA from 1 species